rnacentral:lncRNA from 1 species
CUAAUAACAAUAAUAAAAAAUAAAUGUAAGGAACUACUGUAUGGGAAAAGGUUAUUUGGGCCCAAAUUAUCCUCUUUUACAAAGAGACAUACAGGUGUGGGAGCGCUAUUGAAUUAUGUGUAGGUUAGUGAAUUAAAUGUUCUGGAUAUUAUAAAAAAAAAUAAGUGUAUAAGUAUACUGGUAUAAGUAGAUAACUAUUGCACUGUUAAAUAUAAAAGUUCCCGAAAUAAACCCGAUUGACCUGAUAUUGUCCCCACAAGUGUUCCUUGCUACUUCUCAGUAAAGUCUUAUAUCCGUAGUUAAGCACAGAAUGGUGCUACACAGCUAUCAGUGACACGGCAAUUCUCGAAGAUGCAGGAUAAUGAAGUAAAAACAAUGGCAUGGGUUUCUUUUUAGAGCUUGUCCCCUAGUUGACUUGGUCGGAAAGCGGUCCCUCUCAGAUGGUAUGAGUACUUAAAGAUUUUCUUAAGUGGCUAAAAAAAAUAGAAAUCCCGGUUUUACUUCAUUGUAAUAAUGUAGGGAAAAGUCAGAGAAGGAAAAACAAAAAUCAGGAAGUUUUUAUUUAGAAUAAAGAAGAAUCAGAAAAAGCUAUCUCAUUAG